GGGGGACAGAGAGUUGGUUGCCUCCUCGCACAAGGGGAGCAACCAGUAGGAUCAGGCCUCGCGCGGGGCAGAUUUUCUCGACUCCGACAUUGGCAUCUGAAGAUGAUUCCAUUGGUUCAUGGUCUUUGUGCUCCUGCUCUAGCCUCCUCGCUGUUCCAACCAAGACCUGAGAGGCGUGUGAGCACCUCUGACCCGGCAAAGCUGAUGAUCCGAGCAUUCUGCUGCUGCUCCUUGCCUUCACCGACAACCCUUCUUCUGCCAAAGGGAGGAGAGGUUCCAGUUGGCAACAGAGGAGGCUGGAGAAGCACGAGGUUGCUGUGGUGGAGGUCUCUAGUUGGUGUACAUACAUGUUUAAGGUGAGCUUGUCUGGACGUGGCGGCGGUGUUUUUAUAUGUUUGGAAUGUUAAACCUGGAGGUGGAGUUGUUUGUAUCUGAAAAUAGAGGGGUUUUUUUGUUAUAAUGUUGCUGGUUGUAAUCGUUGGAGCCGGUAGUAAUGAACAUGGUGUUGAUAACAAUAAUGUAAAGCUUAAUGAUGAUAGUGCGGAAUGUUGCGAAAUUACCCAUGCUUCCGUUUCCACUGUCGUGAAAAAUCGGGAGAAGUUAAAGCUGUGGAUGGCGUCAUUCCUUGGUAUUCCCCGUCAAUCAAAUUCCCAAAAUAU